UCUAUAUAAGUUCACUAUCAAGUACCAAAGAUGUUUCAAUCUCCUCUUUACCUUGGUGUGGGUCGGGGCGUCCCACCUCUUCCUUCGGAAAGCUCUCGGCACAUGGUGUUUGGACAAGGGAAGUUGAAUUUUGUGGGAUAAGUUUAGGUUACAAUUGGUGUAGCCUUUCCACGUGCUAUUUCAUUUCUUCAAUAUCAUCAUUGAUGCAAUCAAAUGUGGCAUCGAGAUUAGUGGCAGCCAUGGUACCUAAAGCAAAGGACAACAACAAACAACAAACAAACUUGUUAGCUCAAAAAUGCCUCACCACACUCUCACUUUCAAUUUUUACCUCACACUUGGUUUCACAACUGUUGAAAGUCGGCUUAUACUUCGCGAGUGAUUGGGAGUUGAGUCUGCUCUUGCCCGGAAUAGAUUUUCGUUUGAGUUGACUCAAAAGAAAUAUUUUUUACGAACUUGAACCAACAAGACACAACGAAUUCACAAAAGAGAAAAAAAAAGCACAUAACAAACGCUAAACACCAAUGAACGAACACAAAGACUAACUAACAAUUUAGUAGAUGAGUACUACUUUGUCAAUUAGUAUUGGAACCAACAAGCAAAACUACAGAACAAUAAAAGGAAACUAAGAAAAUCUAAAAUUUGAGCCAAAAUUUGAUGCGUGAAUAGUAACUUGAUGACGAAGCAGCCACGUAUUGAUUGCAGUUUCUACAAUUUUUAUUUUCCAAAGUCCAAGUCUUGACCAAUUUUAAUUUGGAUUGGUGAAAUUUAUUUUAAGGAGGGAAGAAUAAGUCUUGAAGCCUUUUUUUCAAGUUUUAAAUUUCAAGACUUGACUUUUGUUGUACUUUUUCUUAAAACAUGGACCCUUGUUUCAUGGGAAAGUGGUUGAGAAGUGAUGUAAAGUCUUUAGUGUGUAGGAAAAGUUUUUGAGUCACAAGUACUACACCUUGAAACUUGGAUCUAUGUAUUGCAAGACUAACACAAUACACACUCUUUUUCUUCAACUUAUAAGAUCAACAACCACUUUUUUUUCAACAAUAUAUGGAGAUAGUGAAGAACACCAAGAACACCAGGAACACAAACUUUGAGUCUUGAAGUUCUAAGGUUCAAGUUAGACCUCCCAAACAACAACAGCUUUCCAAGCUUAAAUUCCACAGCACAAUCUCCACAAUACACGUUCAAAACUUGAACCAACAACACAUCACAUGUUCAAGUCUCGAACCCGCAACAACAAUACUAACAACAAUCGGCCACACUUCGUUCACAUUAACAACAUCAACAUUUCAAGCUCAAAUCUAAGAUAUAGACUCAACGUGUUAGUGAGGAACAAAACUAACACUUAGAGAUAACAAAGACAAGUAAAAAUAUUGGCCAAUACACAAUUUUCGGCCAAGAGCACAAAAUGGACAGAUUGCUAUUUUUCUGGAAUUUUCAGAGUUCAACUUUCUUUUAACAAUUUUUUUUAUUUUUCAACUAACAAGCCCAAGAUUGAUCGUGUGGUAACAAUAUCAAGCCAUGCUCUGAUACCAAAUGAUACGGAAAUGACAACGGAAACACGAAAUCAGUCCAAAAACAGUCCACAAAAUGGAAAAAAUCCGUGAACCCUUUUAGAGAUAAGUCUCGGCUU
rnacentral:lncRNA from 1 species